GCCUUUCCCUUAUGUGACUGAACGAGAAAGGUCAAACGCGACCAAUAAUUCCACUAUCUGUCAAAGAAUAACUGUUGAUGUCCACCUAAUUUCAGAGGAAGCUAUAAUGUCUGGAAGCGGCAGACAAUGUUUUAUUCUUUACAUGUCCCCUCUUUCCCACCGUACAGCUGCAACUGAAGUGGUCCGAGCAAUUGCAUUGUGUAGCGUAGCGUACGCCGGCACCGGGCUUUGACCGCUAAGCGAAGAAAAGAAAGAAUGGCAGAACAAUUUGGGCGUUGGAGCAGGACCAAACGGAGGGGAGCGGCGAGCAUGUAAUCUCCUAAUUUGGAGCAUCACAGCGUCAGAUUCCCGCCUGCUCGCCACGUUCUCCCGGCCUUACCUAUAGUGUUGGAAGGCAGCCCUCUUGAUGUUCUGCUCACAUUCAUCAGGGAAUGCCGGAGAGCCAGAGAGACUGCUGCACAGUGCCAGGCCAGGCAGUGAGAAGCGACAUCUGUGUUCUCAGAGUCUGUCAUAACGUGCACGGAGCUUACAAGACAUCAACUUAGCACAAGCAGCGGAGACCUGCAGCUUAAGGAGGAUCACUGGACAGCCUGGAUUCAAGGUGCAUUAUGUCUGGCAGCCAUGGUCUAAAGAUUACAAAGUGAGAAAAGAGGAAGGAAGUCAUAAGAAGUCCACAAUCUCUUGAUCAUUCUAUAUCAAGAACUAUAGGGCAGUUUUAGAAGCAAGGGCAGGAAGGUGAAGAAUGUCCCUGUGAUGGAACGCGGGGGGCACCCAUUCCCUCCAGCUCUAUCCACAAUGUCUUUAAUCCAGGGGUCCUCCUGCAGGCUGAAGCCUCACAUUGUCCAACAGAAACUAUCCCCAUGAUGUCACUUAAGAGCAGGUCCUGGCAAAUGUGUCCUCAAGCUACAAAUGCAUUUUUAACAUGGUGCACUUUUAAACUCUCCUUUUAUUUGACUUGUUUUGAGACUGGCUUCUUCUUCUGCACAUGGAAAAUAACCUAAAAACAAAUCCUUAAUUUACUUUUGGAUCAUAUUAUGCAGAUUAAAUUCAUUAAAUUGUAAUCUAAGAA